UACGUAGGGUGCAAGCGUUGUCCGGAAUUAUUGGGCGUAAAGAGCUUGUAGGCGGUUUGUCGCGUCUGCUGUGAAAUUUCGGGGCUCAACCCCGAACUUGCAGUGGGUACGGGCAGACUAGAGUGUGGUAGGGGAGACUGGAAUUCCUGGUGUAGCGGUGAAAUGCGCAGAUAUCAGGAGGAACACCAAUGGCGAAGGCAGCUCGCUGGGACGUGACUGACGCUGAGGAGCGAAAGCGUGGGUAGCAAGCAGG
rnacentral:rRNA from 1 species